rnacentral:rRNA from 1 species
UGGGGAAUUUUCCGCAAUGGGCGAAAGCCUGACGGAGCAAUACCGCGUGAGGGAGGAAGGCUUUUGGGUUGUAAACCUCUUUUCUCAAGGAAGAAGUUCUGACGGUACUUGAGGAAUCAGCACCGGCUAACUCCGUGCCAGCAGCCGCGGUAAUACGGAGGGUGCAAGCGAUGUCCGGAUUUAUUGGGUUUAAAGGGUACGUAGGCGGGCUAUUAAGUCUGGGGUGAAAACUUUCGGCUCAACCGGAAAAUUGCCCUGGAUUCUGGUAGUCUUGAGUACAGUAGAGGUGGGCGGAAUUCAUGGUGUAGCGGUGAAAUGCAUAGAUACCAUGAGGAACACCGAUAGGGAAGCCAGCUCACUAGACUGUCACUGACGCUGAGGUACGAAAGCGUGGGGAGCGAACAGGAUUAGAUACCCGCGUAGUCC